rnacentral:rRNA from 1 species
UACGUAGGGCGCAAGCGUUGUCCGGAAUUAUUGGGCGUAAAGAGCUCGUAGGCGGUUUGUCGCGUCUGCUGUGAAAUCCUCAGGCUCAACUUGGGGCGUGCAGUGGGUACGGGCAGACUAGAGUGCGGUAGGGGGAGACUGGAAUUCCUGGUGUAGCGGUGGAAUGCGCAGAUAUCAGGAAGAACACCCGUGGCUAAGGCGGCUCUCUAGUAACGGGUACUGACGCUGAGACGCGAAAAGCGUGGGGGAGCG